UACGGAAGGGGCAAGCGUUGUUCGGAAUCAUUGGGCGUAAAGGGCGCGCAGGUGGUUCUGUAUGUCUGCCGUGAAAGCAUACAGCUCAACUGUAUUGUGUCGGUAGAAACUGCAGGACUUGAGGCUGGGAGGGGCUGGUGGAAUUCCCUGUGUAGCGGUGAAAUGCGUAGAGAUCAGGAAGAACACCGGUGGCGAAGGCGCUCUGCUAGGCCGCAACUGACACUGAGGGACGAAAGCUAGGGGAGCGAAUGGG
rnacentral:rRNA from 1 species